UUUUUUUUUCUUUUUUUUUUGUGGGGGGAGUGGUUUUGUGACUAUCUCCUUCAAUUCUGCUCUGAUCUUAGUUGUUUCUUGUCUUCUGCUAGCUUUCGGAUUCGUUUGUUCUUGACUCUCUAGCUCUUUUAUUUGUGAUAUUAGGGUGUCAAUUUCAGAUCUUUCUAGCUUUCUGAUGUGAGCAUUUAGUGCUAUAAAUUUCCAUCUUAACACUGCUUUAGCUGUGUCCCAGAGAUUCUCGUUGUCUCUUUGCACUCAUUGGUUUCAAAGAAAUUUGUGAUUUCUGCCUUAAUUUCAUGUUUACCCAGGAGUCAUUCAGAAGCUGGCUGUUCAAUUUCCAUGUAAUUGUGUGGUUCUGAGUGAGUUUCUUAAUCCUGAGUUCUAAUUUGAUUGAGCUAUGGUCUGAGAGACUGUUUGUUGUGAUUUCAGUUCUUUUGCAUUUGCUGACAAGUGUUUUACUUCCAAUUAUGUGGUCAAUUUUAGGAUAAGUUCCAUGUGGCACUGAGAAGAAUGUAUAACCUGUUGAUUUGGGGUGGAGAGUUCUGUAAAUGUCUACUAGGUCCACUUGAUCCAGAGUUGAGUUCAAGUUUGAAUAUCCUUGUUAAUCUUAUGUCUUGUUAAUCUACCUAAUAUUGACUUGUAGGUCUCUAAGAACGUGUUUUAUGAAUCUGGGUGCUCCUGUAUUGGGUGCAUGUAUAUUUAGAAUAGUUAACUCUUCUCAUUGAAUUGUUCCCUUUACCAUUUUGUAAUGCCCUUCUUUGUCACUUUUUAAUAUUUGUUAGUUUAAAGACUGUUAUGUCAAAGACUGGGAUUGCAAUCCCUGCUUUUUUUUUUUAACUUCCUAUUUGCUUGGUAAAUUUUCCUCCAUCCUGUAUUUUGAGCCUAUGUGUGUCUUUGCACUUCAGAUGGGUCUUCUGAAUACAGCACACCAAUGAGUCUUGACUCUUUAUCCAAUUUUCCAGUCUGCCUUUUAGCCCAUUUACAUUUAACAUUGGCAUUGUUAUGUGUAAAUCUGAUCCUGUCAUCGUGAUGCUAGCUGGUUAUUUUGCACACUAGUUGAUGCAGUUUCUUCAUAGUGUCAUUGGUCUUUAUAUUUUGGUGUGUUUUUGCAGUGGCUGGUACCAGUUUUUCCUUUCCAUAUUUAGUGCUUCUUUCAGGAGCUCUUGCAAGGCAGGCCUGGUGCUAACAAAAUCCCUCAGCAUUUGCUUGUCUUGAAAGAAUUUUAUUUCUCCUUCACUUAUGAAACUCAGUUUGGCCGAAUGUAAAAUUCUGGAUUGAAAAUUCUUUCUUUAAGAAUGUUGAAUAUUGGCCUCCAAUCUAUUCUGGCUUGUAGGGUUUCUGCUGAGAUGUCCACUGUUAGUCUGAUGGGCUUCCCUUUGGAGGUGACGUGGCCUUUCUCUCUGGCUGCCCU
rnacentral:lncRNA from 1 species